GAAAACUACAAGCGCAAGCUCAAAACUCAAAGGAUUUGGCGGCAUUUUAAAUCCUCCUAGAGGAGCCUGUCCUAUAAUCGACAAUCCCCGCUAAACCUCACCUUCUUUAGCCUUCAGCCUAUAUACCGCCGUCGCCAGCUUACCCUCCAAGGGUAUCAAAGUAAGCAAGAUCGAUUUAAUCCAAAACGUCAGGUCAAGGUAUAGCUCACAAGAAGGGAAGAGAUGGGCUACAUUUCCUAUAUAGGACUAACGGAAUGCCUGUUGAAAAACAGGUUAAAGUAGAAUUUAGCAGUAAGUAAAAAAUAGAGUGUUUU
rnacentral:rRNA from 1 species